AUCAUCUUUCACAGUUAACUCCCCUUUUAACUUGCAGCUUUUGGGGAGCUGUUUAGAUAUUCAGGCAGUAAUCAUACAACACUUUCAUCCUAUUCAAAAAGGAUGGGGGGAAAACAGCUUUUCUUAAUGCAGUCACGUCAAGAAAAUGCAUACAAUCAAGAGAUAUGGUCUAUUUCUUGAUGGUCAGCUGGUCGCAUUUAGUUCCUUUUCAAGCGCAUCAAACUCCCACUCACCAAUCUCAUCUGUCAAAUAGUCUGUGUCAUCUUUCCCAAGUUCAGACUCCAGCUGUUCAAGUUCCACCAGUGCUGGUGACUUUCUUCCAUUGAGCAAGGAUA
rnacentral:misc_RNA from 1 species